rnacentral:rRNA from 1 species
GCUGGGUAGCUAUGUACGGAAGGGAUAAGCGCUGAAAGCAUCUAAGCGUGAAGCCCCCCUCAAGAUGAGAUUUCCCAGUAUGUAAGACCCCUUGAAGACGACGAGGUAGAUAGGUUGGGGGUGGAAGUGCAGUAAUGCAUGGAGCUGACCAAUACUAAUCGGUCGAGGGCUUAUCCUA